rnacentral:rRNA from 1 species
AUGCACGCUGGCGGCGUGCCUAAUACAUGCAAGUCGAGCGAACGGACGAGAAGCUUGCUUCUCUGAUGUUAGCGGCGGACGGGUGAGUAACACGUGGAUAACCUACCUAUAAGACUGGGAUAACUUCGGGAAACCGGAGCUAAUACCGGAUGAUAUUUUGAACCGCAUGGUUCAAAAGUGAAAGACGGUCUUGCUGUAACUUAUAGAUGGAUCCGCGCUGCAUUAGCUAGUUGGUAAGGUAACGGCUUACCAAGGCAACGAUGCAUAGCCGCCCUGAGAGGUUGAUCGGCCACACUGGACCUGAGCCACGGUCCAGACUCCUACGGGAGGCAGCAGUAGGGAAUCUUCCGCAAUGGGCGAAAGCCUGACGGAGCAACGCCGCGUGAGUGAUGAAGGUCUUCGGAUCUUAAAACUCUGUUAUUAGGGAAGAACAUAUGUGUAAGUACCUGUGCACAUCUUGACGGUACCUAAUCAGAAAGCCACGGCUAACUACGUG